rnacentral:rRNA from 1 species
UACGUAGGGGGCAAGCGUUGUCCGGAUUUAUUGGGCGUAAAGAGCGUGUAGGCGGCCAGACAGGUCCGUUGUGAAAACUCGAGGCUCAACCUCGAGAUGUCGAUGGAAACCGUCUGGCUAGAGUCCGGAAGAGGAGAGUGGAAUUCCUGGUGUAGCGGUGAAAUGCGCAGAUAUCAGGAAGAACACCUAUGGCGAAGGCAGCUCUCUGGGACGGUACUGACGCUGAGACGCGAAAGCGUGGGGAGCGAACAGG